UCGAUGUCAGAAGUAUAUGCGCCCAGUGAUUUUGCAUUUAUUUUGAAAUAGAUUUUAAAGACAUACCUAUACGUUUGAUUAAUAUGAAUCAGUGGGUAGAGUUCUCCAUCUACGUCGUUCUGCUUACAUGUAUCUAUACAUAUUUGUAUUUAGUGGCAGAAAGUAUAGUUGAAAGUGACCCAGAUUACAAUCACGAUGAACUGUAAGCAGUAGAAUGGACAAGAUUAUAGCUGUUAUUGCGCACAUAGGUAAAAUAACAUGUUGUAUAGUGGAGAGCACAAUUCGUGCUAUUGCGCAUUCAUUGUUCCACAUAUCGAUACGCAUCGUCUGUAUUGGUUUGGCUGUAAUGGUUGCUCUAGCUUUAUAUCAGAAAAACAGUACAAGUACAGCAAAUACGAUAACUUUAAUAGGAUUCAGUGCCAUUGUGGGUGUUUGUUUGUAUGACCUCCUGUUUUAGCAAUAAAUGUAAUGAUAUUUAAAACUUA